ensembl:lncRNA
UGUGGUCUUUCUGUUUCUAGGUGGAAGCUGAAUUAGUGAGGAUGACUCCUGCUCCUGUCAUCUCUAAGCUCCUCACACAUCUUUACCUGCACAUGAGGAAAAUCACUCCUGUAGAAUGCAGAUGUUCAGAGGGAGAUGAUGCCACAUCUGGUCCAGCUGAUGGAUGGUCUUGAAGUUCUCUGACUGGCCUGGACUGAAGAUGGUCGUCUCACUGGAUUUAAGGUUCAGAUGCUCAGUAACAAACUCCACCAAUGAGCCAACAGGGAAGCUUUAAGUUUAUUAAAUGUUGCUAUGAAGGUACCGCUGUUUUUCUUUGUGAAUGCAAUGUGCUCCAACUGAAACUUGAAUUAGAAGUAAAUCCUUCCAUUUGAAAGGAUUUAGUUGCAUUAAUAACCUCAUAACAUUCAAAUUUUUAUUCCAGUCUUGGUUGAAAAUAGAAUCUCUGCAUUGAUUCAGGUAAAAACUGAACUUCACAGCAUGUUGGAGCAAAACAACCAGAUGAAAACUGUGAAGGUGUUGGAUUGUCAGACCGUAAUGUUGCAGCUCAAAGCAGCUUUUCUAUCUCAGUUCAUUCUGACAUUAAGCUAUGAAUCAACACAGCAGAUGGUGAUCCAUGCUGUGGAAGUCUCACAUCUCCUGAUUUAAUGGAGCUGCUUUGCACUUUUUACACUGUUUAUUCACCAACACUUUAUUUAAUAAAAGUCCCAUCUAGUUUUUAUGAGGAAUGUGAUGUUUUAAUUUCUCUGUGAAUAACUGCAGUCUAAUGUAACAGCUGGAGUUGUAACAUCUGUCCUGAUAUUGAUCAUGAAGUAUUGAUGAGAAUACUUAUGGUUAGCAGUCAUUCCUGAAGUUUUACAUUAAAAUCUUUACUUGUGUUGUGAACUUUGGUAAGAAGCAGAAACGUUAGCGUUGCCAUGGAUAUAUGAGUGUUAAAUUCUGUCCAUGUUUCAUUUUGGGAAAUUCAGUCCAGUUCCAGAAUGUGGAGGAAUUUAGUCUCAAUCACAGACAACAAAUAUUAUCUGAAAGUCGG